ACGCACUAACUUGCACAGCAUUGAAUGGAAAAGGCUUUAUCCAUGUCCAGUUGAGGGGCAUCAAGAACACGCAGAUGGCCUAAACCUGUAUCAGCCUGGACAGACUGCAGUUCUGCUAUUCCACGCCAAGGCUUUUGUAUGGAUGUCUGACUACUACUGUGUUCUCUAAAGGUAUUACUGGAGCAAAACAACAGCACCUGUUACAGUGAAAUUUGUAUUAAUAAAAAUAGUGAUACAUGUGUAGCAGGUCCAGUACAUUUGUCAUAAAGGUUAAAUCACAGUAAGUACUGUAAAAAUAACUUGUUUGCCUUUGCCACAACAGGUCAUGGUGUGUGCAAACUGCUCGUAGUAAACACACAUGCUGAUCUGAUGCGGGAGAGAUAUACGCAAACACAUUUGUAUUUACUG
rnacentral:lncRNA from 1 species